UUUGGACUUGGACUUUUGGGUUAAUGCUGAAAUCAGCUAAGACUCUGGGGGGACUGCUGGAAAUGCAUGACUGUGCUCUAAAAUGUGAGGAUAUGAGAUCUGAGAGGGGCCUGGAAUAGAAUGGUAUGGUUUGGUGGUGUCCCCACUCAAAUCUCAUCUUGAAUUGUAGUUCCCAUAAUCCCCAUGUGUGAUAGCGGGGACCCUGUGGGAGAUAAUUGAAUCAUGAGGGCAGUUUCCUCCAUGCUAUUCUCACGAUAGUGAGUACGUUCUCAGGAGACCUGAUGGUUUUAAAUAAUGGGCUUCCCCUUUUACUCAGCUCUCAUUCUUCUCUUUCUUGCCAUCAUGUGAAGAAAGAUGUGCUUGUUUCCCCUUCCACCAUGAUUGUAAGUUUCCUGAGGCCUCCCCAGCCUGUGGAACUGUGAGUCAAUUAAACUUUUUUUCUUUGUAGAUUACUCAGUCUUGGGCAGUUCUUUACAGCAGCGUGUGAAUGGACUAACACACCAGUUACAUAAAGAAUUGAAAAUAGUCAAACUCCUAGAAGCAGAGAGUGGAAUGGUGAUUACCAGGGGCUUAGGGAAGCAGGAAACCAGGAGGUACACAGCUUCUGCUAUGCAAGACGAUGAUAGAUCCAUGGACAACUCACUGGAUGUGGCCCUGUGAGGCACUAGAGGGAGACUGGGAGGUGGAGAGAAGAAUCAAGCCAGCCUUGUCUUCUCUUUACCCACUUCCAAUGGCAGUGGCUGUGUGAUGGCCUCAGUUUCCCCAGGGAGGCACCCACGGGCAUUUCCCGCGUAAACUCUUAGUCAAUGACUCAAGUCAUGCUAUGAGCAACAAUUUCUGUGUUCCACAUCAUCUACAAGCAACACAAUCUGUGACUCUCCAUCUGCCCCUAGUUAUGCUUUGGCCAGUAAUCCAAUUGCUACCGUCAUGCUUUCCUCUUAAAGAGUCCCUGGAUAUUCCUGCCUAGCUUGAGGGAAGUUACUUCAUUAGGGUGAUUUGGGCACUUGGGGAACCUUUGCCAUCUUUAUGACUUAAAUUUUGACUUACCAAAAUAAAUAAGACAUAUAAGGAAAGAACAUAAAUUUAAUAGAAAAAUUCAACAUAUUUCCCCGUGGAUGUCUUAUUUACAUUAAUUUGGCCUCUCCUUUCUGUCCUACUCACCCCUCCUAAAUAGAAAACAAAGUUAAUUAUUUGAUUGGCUGUAUUAGGGAAAGAAUUAGGGCUGAACCUGUUUGUCUUUUGUUCUCUGUUUAUUUGGAAAUCUGAAAUAGCAUCUAUUCUUGGAUUAUCUGUAUCAUAAAUAUUCAAGGUCAGGGAAGGCUGAAAUCUUCAGUUCAUCAAUAACCAGUUGGGUUCAAUGCAGGGGUGCUGAGCAGGAAGCCCACUUUUGCAGAGGAGGGAGCCGUUGUGUGCAAACAGCCUGAUUAGUAAUAAAGGCAGUGAUUUUGUUGUCUAUCUCUUUGGUUUCUCCCCUAUACAUUAAUUAAUUUAAAUGUGGGGUUAGGGAAGACAUUCAGUAAGUCUUUCGAAACCCUAACAACAGUUUACAGAACAAACAUCACAUUUAACACUUUUUUUUUUUUUUUGAGACAGGGUCUCACGCUGUCACCCAGGCUUGAGGGCAGUGGCACAAUCUCUGCUCACUGCAACCUCUGCCUCCCAGGAUCAGGCUAUUCUAAUGCCUCAGCCUCCAGAGUAGCUAGGAUUACAGGCACCCGCCAUCAUGCCUGGCUGAUUUUUGAAUUUUGAGUAGAGAUGGGGUUUCACCAUAUCGGCCAGGCUGGUAACAUUUAACACUCUUACUGGUAAAUUUAACACACCUAGCCAGAAUCUUUGCAUCCUUUCCUGGGAAUAUCAUGAGAAGAGACUUCAAUUUAUGAUAAUUCUCAAAGGAUAGGUAAAUGACACUUUUCGGUCACGUACCUUGAAAUCACCUCUCAAAAACAUUAAUUAUAAAAAGAAAUGCUCAUAUGAGGAGAGACAGGUAUUAUUGUGUUGCCCUAACCUGUGGCAUUUCUGUGAGAAGGUGCAAGGCCAGGUCCCCACACUGUUUAAGCAUUCAGAAGACAGCAGAUAGCAUGCUCCUCCAUAUCCAUUCACAGCUCCCAAAAAUGCAGUGGUUGGCAUCACAGCCUCAAAGCAUUCAAAAAAAUUUCCAGAAGUUUUGACUUUUCACCCAAAUGGUUUUACCAUUUUCAUCUUAAAAAGGAAGAGCUGGACCUGGCACCACACCAACCAUCAUAUCGUCCUCUUGAGUUGAUCAUUGCCCAUUGGGGAGUGAGAAGCAGGCUAUGAAAGCAAACAGCUUAGCCGUGGUUACUAGACGAGCGGUAAUAUACACCCAGAAGAGAAGGAGAUGGUAGGACCACAGAGAGCAAAGGAUGCAGCCACAGACCAAGGAAUACCACAGGCACCAGAAGCUGGAAGAGCCAAGAAAUGGAUGUUUCCCCAGAGCCUCUGGAGGGAGCAGGCCCUGCUGACACCCUGAGUUUGGCCUAGUGAAACUGACUUCAGACUUCUAGCCUUCAGAACAGGGAAACAAUACAUUUCGGGUUUGUUUAUGGCAAUUUAUCAUAGCAGCGACAGGAAAUUAACUCAUAAAUCACUGGUCCCCAUUUCCUUGCUCAGGUGAAAAAUGUCCCUUGGGUUCACUCUCUUUGGACUUUUGGGGCCCAUUAUGUGCUAGACUGACAACUGCAGGCACAGUCCAUUUUCAUUGCACAGGGGGCAUUGUCUAAACUUACCGGUUUGACUUGACAAAUAAUACAAACAAAAUAAAUUUAGUUUUGACAGACUGAAAUGAAUUGAAUUGGUUGAAGUGAACAUAAAGAACCAUAUGAUUUUUUAAAAAACUACUUCUUAUUUUUUAAAGCCCAACACAGUACUGUGGAUUAUAACAUAUGUAUACAUGUUUGUGGGUAUCUAUACAUGCACAUAUACACACACACACACACACACAUAUAUAUAUAUAUAUAUACACACAUAUAUAUAUGAAUUUUCAACCAAAAUGUGAAGAAAAUUGUAGUUAAAAAUGCCAUAAUUUAUCUUUUACUGGUAAUUUCUAACUUAUCGCUUUAAUUUUCUCUGCCUCCCAAACAUCCUUACUCAAAAAUUGGAGAAGAAAUUUUUAUUUAUCCAUCUAGCUCCUCUUUAUCAUCUUAGUCUGUUCAGCUGCAAUAUCACUACAGCAGGGAUAACACUUUUAAAUAUAAUCUGCUCUAAUCUGCAUAAUUGUCUAACAGAAAACAGACAGGUGGUGCCUUCUCAAUCAGCUUAAGGUCAGUCUCUGAAGCAAACGUCACGAACAUAUGCAAAUCGUCGGCUAAUAUGCUAAAUCAGAGGAUGUGUUUUUAUUAAGAAUUUCGAAUCUGCAAAAUGGUUUCUCCUUGUAUUAUUUUUUCCUGGAAACUUUCAGGUUUUUUCCUUUGUGCUGUAUGUUUAAGCCUGUAUGCUAAUCUUGACUUAAUCCCUAUUCAUCUUUCCAUCAUUAAACACGAUCCUGUCAUUCAGAUGUUUGAAGGCUUAAGAGUGACUGUUUCUACUCUUUUAACUGCAACAAUUUGGCAUCCUGUUUCCCAUAACUGCCAUAUCCAUGUUUUAUGGGAUUUUGAAAAGGUUUCGGGAAGUAUUUUGGACACAGGACAGCCUACUGAAUGAGACUUGGAAAGUGCCCCAAGCAAAGUGGUAGGGGCCAAGAGAAAGCCCAGAAAUGAUUCAUGGUGUGUUCACACCGUGUGGGCUGGCAAGUGCGGGAGACGGCUCUCUGCUAGCAGACUGGAACUAAAUUCUUAGACAUUCCUGGGUUGCCAAACAAUGUCAUCACAGGGGUUCCUAAAGAAGCUGUGAAUUGGAUGUCAGUGUCUUUUGGCUGAAAGGAGAGUUUGUGUCAGACCCCAAGAGGUCUCCUUAGAUACAUUUUUCUAAUUGAGGCUCCUUCUCUUCCCCUGACAAAGAAAAGCAUUGACACCUGUGUAUUCUGCGUGGGGAAGACUUUCAGCUAAGCCAGAUUCCAAGCGGGAGGUUACAGCAGGCUCGGGUGUGGUUUAUUCCCUCUGCCAGUUCAAUACUUUUACCCCACAUUUUCAAAGAAAGUGUGUGUCCUGUCUGGUCCCUGCACACCCUUCCUCCUCACCCAACACUCUGUGGUCCUACAAUUUGACUACUAUUCUUGCUGCUAGAGAGGCCAGGCUACACGGCAUCCAAAGGGGAUCCCAUCGCCACGGCAGACACUUUGGCUACGUCCUGCCCUUCUCUUUCCUUCUCUGACCUUUUAUUUCCAUGGUGAAAAUCCACAGCUCUUUAACACACUCUGCAGCAGCCCAUUUUUAGCUUAAAUAAAAGUGAAGAGAGGAUUUAGUAUUCCAAUCCCACUGCAUUAGUGUCAAAUAUGUUUAUGCUAGUAAGAGGAAAAUAAAUACAUUCUGUCAUACAGAUGCCAUUCAAAUCUAAUGGGACUCAAUUUCAUGCUUUCAAUACUGAGAGGAAGUACCCAGAUUAGCCUCAAAUCAAGAGUGAUUCCUGAAACUUCUCUAUUUGCCACAUGCUAGAUUUCCAGUUUUUUUAUUGUCUUUAUAUAUAUAUUUUUUAAUAGCAACAACACUAGAUACCAUUCUGACAUGCUUUCC
rnacentral:lncRNA from 10 species